rnacentral:rRNA from 1 species
GACGAACGCUGGCGGCGUGCUUAACACAUGCAAGUCGAACGGAAAGGCCCUGCUUUUGUGGGGUGCUCGAGUGGCGAACGGGUGUGUAACACGUGAGUAACCUGCCCUUGACUUUGGGAUAACUUCAGGAAACUGGGGCUAAUACCGGAUAGGAGCUCCUGCUGCAUGGUGGGGGUUGGAAAGUUUCGGCGGUUGGGGAUGGACUCGCGGCUUAUCAGCUUGUUGGUGGGGUAGUGGCUUACCAAGGCUUUGACGGGUAGCCGGCCUGAGAGGGUGACCGGCCACAUUGGGACUGGGAUACGGCCCAGACUCCUACGGGAGGCAGCAGGGGGGAAUAUUGCACAAUGGGCGGAAGCCUGAUGCAGCAACGCCGCGUGCGGGAUGACGGCCUUCGGGUUGUAAACCGCUUUCGCCUGUGACGAAGCGUGAGUGACGGUAAUGGGUAAAGAAGCACCGGCUAACUACGUG